GAUGAACGCUGGCGGCGUGCCUAACACAUGCAAGUCGAACGGAGAUUACGGACGGAAGUUUUCGGAUGGAAGCCUGUAAUUCUUAGUGGCGGACGGGUGAGUAACGCGUGGGCAACCUGCCCUAUACAGGGGGAUAGCAGCUGGAAACGGCUGGUAAGACCGCAUAAGUCGGUUAAAUCGCAUGAUUUGAUCGGGAAAUGAGCAAUCAGGUAUAGGAUGGGCCCGCGUCCGAUUAGCCAGUUGGCAGGGUAAAAGCCUACCAAAGCGACGAUCGGUAGCCGGACUGAGAGGUCGGACGGCCACAUUGGGACUGAGACACGGCCCAAACUCCUACGGGAGGCAGCGGUGGGGGAUAUUGCACAAUGGAGGAAACUCUGAUGCAGCGACGCCGCGUGAGUGAAGAAGUAUUUCGGUAUGUAAAGCUCUAUCAGCAGGGAAGAUGAUGACGGUACCUGACUAAGAAGCCCCGGCUAACUACGUG
rnacentral:rRNA from 1 species